GAUCCUGCCAAAGGCCAUUGUUAUGGGAGUCCAAUUUACCCAUGCUAUUUGGGCGGGUUUAUACCCGGAGCGGAAAUCUCAAUAACACGUGGCCAAUCUACCCUGUGGACGGGAAUACUCUGGGGAAACUGGGGCUAAUUCCCUAUAACACUUUUGUUCUGAAAGGGGCAAAUCCGGAAACUCUCCGGCUCCACAAGAUGCGGGUGGGGUCUAUUAUGUACACGGGGGGGAAACGGCCCACCGCGCCCAUAAUCGGUACGGGAUGAGAGAGCAAGAGCCCGGACACGGAAUCUGACACAAGAUUCCGGGCCCUACGGGGCGCAACAGGCGCGAAACCUUUACACUGUACGAAAGUGCGAUAAGGGGACUCCCGAGUGAGAAGGUAUUAAGCCUUCACUUUUGUACACCGUAAGGGGGCGCACCAAUAAAGACUGGGCAA
rnacentral:rRNA from 1 species